rnacentral:rRNA from 1 species
ACAGCAGUAGCCGCGGGAAUACGAAGGGUGCAAGCGUUACUCGGAAUUACUGGGCGUAAAGCGUGCGUAGGUGGUGGUUUAAGUCCGUUGUGAAAGCCCUGGGCUCAACCUGGGAAUUGCAGUGGAUACUGGGUCACUAGAGUGUGGUAGAGGAUAGUGGAAUUUCCGGUGUAGCAGUGAAAUGCGUAGAGAUCGGAAGGAACAUCUGUGGCGAAGGCGACUAUCUGGGCCAACACUGACACUGAGGCACGAAAGCGUGGGGAGCAAACAGGAUUAGAGACCCCCGUAGUCCCUGUCUCUUAUAC